rnacentral:rRNA from 1 species
CCUACGGGCGGCAGCAGUGGGGAAUAUUGGACAAUGGGGGGAACCCUGAUCCAGCCAUGCCGCGUGUGUGAAGAAGGCCCUCGGGUUGUAAAGCACUUUCAGUGAGGAAGAACGCCUGGUGGUUAAUACCCAUCAGGAAAGACAUCACUCACAGAAGAAGCACCGGCUAACUCCGUGCCAGCAGCCGCGGUAAUACGGAGGGUGCGAGCGUUAAUCGGAAUUACUGGGCGUAAAGCGCGCGUAGGUGGCUUGAUAAGCCGGUUGUGAAAGCCCCGGGCUCAACCUGGGAACGGCAUCCGGAACUGUCAAGCUAGAGUGCAGGAGAGGAAGGUAGAAUUCCCGGUGUAGCGGCGAAAUGCGUAGAGAUCGGGAGGAAUACCAGUGGCGAAGGCGGCCUUCUGGACUGACACUGACACUGAGGUGCGAAAGCGUGGGUAGCAAACAGGAUUAGAUACCCCUGUAGUC